UGGUAAAAGACAUGGUAGCAGUAGGAAUCCAGCUGAAAUCCAUGCAUCCAUUUUCUCCUCCAAUUUCCGUCUCCGUCGCAUGCAUUCAUCACGAGUCACCAUUGUUAGUGUCUAGCUUCGGAUUCGGUGAUAAUAGUGCGUCUCCUUCCCUUGCUUUCUGCUUUGAACUUCGUUCAAAGAUUGUAUGUUGGUCUUCUAGGGUUAGGGAGGUUCCUUUUUUUAGGGUUGUUAUGGCUGGAUUCCCUGGAAAGUGAGAGAGAGAGAGAGAGAGAAAGAGAGACAGAGCGAGAGAAAGGAACGUACUCGUUGGGAAACGGCUGUGAGGAACUGCUCCCACGUGAAUUCGUCUUUAGAGCUGCCAUGGUCAUAGAGGUUUCAGCUCGAAGAAAACAAAUGCCUCCUCAUCUUCUCUCUCUCUCUCUCUCGCGUUGAAACCAGCGCCACCUUUUCUUGUGCUCUCGAUUAAUCUCCUGCUCCUCCUGGACCUCCUUUCUCUCCUUCUCUCUCUCUAUCAGGCCUGUUCACGUGGUGCCAGGUCAGCCUUUUCAUGACAACGUUAGGGUUGAAACUUGGAAGGAGGGAAGAGAAGCAGGUCCUCCAAACACGUACCGAUUUCUCUUCAUCUAUUUCAGUGUGGGAGUCAUAUCAGCGUUCAUCAAGGGAUAGGAGAGAUUUCUCAACACAUCUGGUAUGAGGGAGAGCUUCAAAGGAAGUUGGGUGGUUCGAUAACUCUGCUAGAACUGUAGGGUGUGUCAGGAUGAUGAUGUGCUCAUAGGAGUUGGAGUUAUUGACGGGUCAUGUGUGGGUUUCCUGCGUCUUCCAAACAUCCUCUCUUGAGUAUUUAGUCCCAUAGUUCGGGCUUCUAAUCUCAUGGUCAUAAAGUAGAAUUAUAUUCUCUCUCAUCUUGGUGUAGGUUGCUGCCUGGGAAACUGUGCCUAUUUGUCAUCGUAUCUUAAAGCUUUUGGUGAAUGAAGCGUUCUAUUCCUAACAUAUUACUUUACUUUUGUUUCUCCUCCGUCAUUUAGUUAUGUGUAUCAAUUAUUUAGGUUAGACUUUAUGUUGUUAUAUGUGAGCUCAGAAAACAAUCCUCCACUCGACA